GACGGUGUUUUCCGCGACCAUUUCCACGGCGUCUUUCGCUACCAUCUCCAUGGCCGUAAUGUUGUUCCAGACACGGUCCCAGGCACUCGUGAAGCUUGGUGAUGACCCACCAGGGCGUUCAACAGACUCCUCAAACGUUAAACAAUUGCCGUCGCAAAUAUAUUAUAAUCAACGUAGAGGAGCAUCAUAGCUCUCCAAUCUUCAAUAUUAACAGAGGAAGCAUCAACUUCUGGGACAAGCACACUGCGUCCAUCUCGAAAACUGGAUGAAAAGACACCGUCCUCGUAACAUCGCCGGAUAACCAUGGUGAAGGUAUUACCAAUGUCAUUUCAAAAUGUGAAAUAAAGUUCGACAAGAAAA